rnacentral:tRNA from 1 species
GCCCUCGGUGGCUCAGAUGGAUAGAGCGUCUGCCAUGUAAGCAGGAGAUCGCGGGUUCGAGUCCCGCUCGAAGCA